rnacentral:tRNA from 1 species
GGAAGCGUGGCAGAGUGGUUGAAUGCACCGGUCUUGAAAACCGGCGACCCGCAAGGGUUCGUGAGUUCGAAUCUCACCGCUUCCGCCA